rnacentral:rRNA from 1 species
GAUGAACGCUGGCGGCGUGCCUAAUACAUGCAAGUCGAGCGAAUGGACUAAGAGCUUGCUCUUAUGAAGUUAGCGGCGGACGGGUGAGUAACACGUGGGUAACCUGCCCAUAAGACUGGGAUAACUCCGGGAAACCGGGGCUAAUACCGGAUAACAUUUUGAACCGCAUGGUUCGAAAUUGAAAGGCGGCUUCGGCUGUCACUUAUGGAUGGACCCGCGUCGCAUUAGCUAGUUGGUGAGGUAACGGCUCACCAAGGCAACGAUGCGUAGCCGACCUGAGAGGGGGAACGGCCACGCUGGGACUGAGAAACGGCCAAGACUCCUACGGGAGGCAGCAGUAGGGAAUCUUCCGCAAUGGACGAAAGUCUGACGGAGCAACGCCGCGUGAGUGAUGAAGGCUUUCGGGUCGUAAAACUCUGUUGUUAGGGAAGAACAAGUGCUAGUUGAAUAAGCUGGCACCUUGACGGUACCUAACCAGAAAGCCACGGCUAACUACGUGCCAGCCGCCGCAGUAA